rnacentral:rRNA from 1 species
UACGUAGGUGGCAAGCGUGGUCCGGAUUUACUGGGCGUAAAGGGCUCGUAGGCGGCCAACUAAGUCGGAUGUGAAAUCCCCAGGCUCAACCUGGGAACGGCAUCCGAUACUGGAUGGCUUGAAUCCGGGAGAGGGAUGCAGAAUUCCAGGUGUAGCGGUGAAAUGCGUAGAUAUCUGGAGGAAUACCGGUGGCGAAGGCGGCAUCCUGGACCGGCAUUGACGCUGAGGAGCGAAAGCUAGGGGAGCAAACGGG